AGUUUGUCUCUUUAUACAAAUGCAAUGUUUUUAAUGUUGGCAUCAUUGAUUACGUUGUAUGUAGGAAAAAAUUCAAACAUAUGAAUCUACAACAUCGUCUCAAUCAAAAGAAAUAUCAAGUUUAGAUUCAUUGGCUCAUGUUUUAGGAAGCCAAGAGCAUUGUGGACGUGUUCGCGGUCUAGGUUUGGGUCCUUGCCCAUCUAAAGUCUUUGGAGUCCAUGCUCGUUCUCAUAUUGGAUCAUCUUCAUCUACUCCUUCUAAUGUUGAAUUACAAUCCCAGGUAUCUUCAUUGACUUCUUCUAAUGUUAAAUUGGAAUCUCAGGUAUCUUCAUUGACAUCACAAGUCAAUGAAAUGAAGGCAAUCAUGACACUUUUGUUGCAAAAUCAUCAAGGUCCAUUGCCUUCACAAUUUGCAGUAUUUCAAAGAUCAUCAGUAUCUGAUCAAGGGAGUGGACCAAACAAUGGAUGUAAUGAAGAAAAAAAUUAGAUAGUUAUUGAAUACUUUUAUGAGUCAUACUUUUAGUAUUGAACAUCUAUAUUGAACAUAUGUAAUGAACAUCUUUCUUUUUAAUUUUUGUGUAUGAACAAUUAGUUGUAUGAAUGCUA